AUUUGAGUAGUUUAAUUUAAAAUAUUAAUUUGUGGAGUUAAAGAUGCAUUAAAAGUAUACCUUAAAUU
rnacentral:tRNA from 1 species